rnacentral:RNase_P_RNA from 1 species
ACGGUACUAGUGGAACGCGGUAAACCCCUCGAGCAGGUAACCCAAAUUUUGGUAGGGGCGCUUCAUGACGGAAAUGAACUAAUCAUGGGGGCGAGUUUUUAACUCGGAGAUAGAUGAUUACCACCGAUUCUAGUCCUGGCUGGAUGACGUACGGAACGUGGCUUAUAGAG